CCUACGGGUGGCAGCAGUGGGGGAUAUUGCACAAUGGGGGGAACCCUGAUGCAGCGACGCCGCGUGGGUGAAGGAGUGCUUCGGCAUGUAAAGCCCUAUCGGCAGGGAAGAAGCAAGACGGUACCUGACUAAGAAGCCCCGGCUCACUACGUGCCAGCAGCCGCGGUAAUACGUAGGGGGCGAGCGUUAUCCGGAUUCACUGGGGGUAAAGGGAGCGUAGACGGCCAUGCAAGCCAGGGGUGAAAGCCCGGGGCCCAACCCCGGGACUGCCCUUGGAACUGUGCGGCUAGAGUGCGGGAGGGGUAGGCGGAAGUCCUGGUGUAGCGGUGAAAUGCGUAGAUAUCAGGAGGAACACCGGCGGCGAAGGCGGCCUGCUGGACUGCGACUGACGUUGAGGCUCGAAAGCGUGGGGAGCGAACAGGAUUAGAUACCCGAGUAGUC
rnacentral:rRNA from 1 species